rnacentral:rRNA from 1 species
CCUCUGGUAUUCCGGAGAGCAUGCCUGUUUGAGUGUCAU